rnacentral:rRNA from 1 species
CCUACGGGUGGCAGCAGUGGGGGAUAUUGCACAAUGGGGGGAACCCUGAUGCAGCGACGCCGCGUGGGUGAAGGAGUGCUUCGGCAUGUAAAGUUCUAUCGGCAGGGAAGAAGCAAGACGGUACCUGACUAAGAAGCCCCGGCUUACUACGUGCCCGCAGCCGCGGUAAUACGGAGGGGGCAAGCGUUAUUCGGAUUCACCGGGUGUAAAGGGAGCGUAGACGGCCGUGCAAGCCAGGGGGGAAAGCCCGGGGCCCAACCCCGGGACUGCCCUUGGAACUGCAUGGCUGGAGUGCCGGGGAGGCAGGCGGAAUGCCUGGUGUAGCGGUGAAAUGCGUAGAUAUCAGGAGGAACACCGGCGGCGAAGGCGGCCUGCUGGACGGCGACUGACGUUGAGGCUCGAAAGCGUGGGGAGCGAACAGGAUUAGAUACCCUUGUAGUC